UGGCCGAGUGGUUAAGGCGAUGGACUAGAAAUCCACUGGGGUUUACCCGUGCAGGUUUGAAUCCUGC
rnacentral:tRNA from 1 species